rnacentral:other from 1 species
GUAUCCCUGCAGCGCGCGCGGUGAAAAGGAAGUUUUUGAGCCAACACCAUUAAAUUGGGAGCCUAACGUUAGGUGUGGCUGUAGACCUGGUUCUUAGGAGCUAGGGAACACCAAACAUCUAAGAGGGCACCCACUUGCUAAAUGGGUUCAAAAUACGGCCUUUCAUGCGGCACUAGCGGGGAUUUU